AGCAGACAGGCAACGUCGGGCUCUGCGAGCUCACCUUGCUUGCAUACUGCUCCAGGGCCACCACCGUGUCUGCGCUGAAGCCCUCAUCAUCUUCUGCGGCCAGGUCCUCCAAGCCCACCUCUGUCUGCACGGCCAGGAUGGCGCUGUCUGACGGCACAGCCGCGGGGUGGUGGAUGUAGGCAGUAGAGCCAUCUUCCAGCUGGACGGCCUCCAGGGCACUGGGGUCACAGCCUUCUGCAGGGAACACACGGUUAGCCUGGAUGUCACAUAAGGGCAAGAGAUGCGGCUGGGACCCUGGCUUUAAGUUUCAGGUUUCGGAAUGUGAGCUCUUAUGAUGUGGGAAAAGGACCAGGCAGCUGCUUCUGGCCCAACUCCCUCAGAAGAAUCCCCAAAGUUGCCUCCACACCAAGUCUUCUCGGGUCACUAACCGACAGUUCUACAAGCCAGCCAGAGGCAGGGGUUCCUGCUGCCUAAGCUGGACUCAGAAAGAGCUGCCUGCCAACAAAGAGAUUACCAGGGAGAGAGAGGCCUUGUAGAACAGCGUGGUUCCAGCUCCAGAAGGCCAGCUCUACCCUCAGGAGUGUGCAA